CUAGAGGGCGGGGGACCGGGGAGGCGGCUGGCUUUAAAUGGGGGCCGUCCGGCGGCUCGGGAGCAGUCCGCCGCGGGGGGAGCGUGGACCUCCCUUCCCCGCGCCGAGGAGCGGCGGGGCCGCCGCCAGGCAAGUUCGCCCCGGGAGCGCUGGUGCCACGGGCCGAGAUGCUUCUCCGGGACUUGGUGCUGCGCCGUGGCUGCUGCUGGCCUUCACUGCUGCUGCACUGCGCGCUCCACCCGCUCUGGGGCUUCGUGCAGGUGACGCACGGUGAGCCGCAGAAGUCCUGCUCCAAGGUGGCCGACAGCUGUCCACACAUCUGCCAGUGCCGACCCCCUCCCUUGCUGCCCCCGCCGCCGCCACCCCCACCGCCUCCCAGACUCCUCUCAGCCCCAGCCCCCAACUCUACCUCGUGCCCUGCUGAGGAAAGCUGGUGGUCGGGGCUGGUGAUCAUCAUCGCGGUAUGUUGCGCCUCCCUGGUGUUUCUCACUGUGCUUGUCAUCAUUUGCUAUAAAGCCAUCAAAAGGAACCAGGCCUUGUAGGGAGUCGUCUGUGGCCAUCCCUUCCUGCACCAGGGUGCAGAUGCCUUUCUUUGCUUUAGCGGGAUGGCCCAGGCUGGCUCAGAGCGCCGCGGAGCCACGCUGGGUCCCAGCGAGCCUCUCUGGCAUUUCCGGAGCCCCACGGGUACACAGUAGGAAACCACUGAGAAAAGAAGAGAACGGCACCAGUGUUGCUGAGUAUCCCAUGACCUCCUCGCCGAGCAACAAAGGGGCCGACGUGAACAGCGCCGUGGUGUGAGUCUGCAGACUCUGGACCUGCUGGUCAGAGGGGCACAUUGGUGGCUUUAGUGAACACGGGAGAGCAGGUGACAGGAGCUGAGACCGGGCUUGUCUGGGACUUCUGAAGAAGACACCAUCCUCUCCCCAGCCUUGCCCCAGGUUGCCCGUCUCUUUCCUGGCUUGUAUUUGAUUUACCAUCUCCCAGCCGCGCUCUGACGAAGCCAGGGAAUCUGUCUGCUGGGCUGGGGAGGCCUCCCACUUUAGCCAAGAGAAAGGUGAUCCGGGGAUCCCUCCCCAGCUGGAAAACCUCUCCUCCUCCCCAGCAAGCCCGUCCGCUUCUCCAUUCACCUUGUAUCCCCACGGAAGCCGUCGGCACAGCCAUGAGAUGUCCCCUUCCAAAGGUGCUUCCCACCCAUCUGUCUGUCACCCCCUCUGUGACUGUCUCCCACCCGUUCCCACCACACCCCGACCCCUGGCUCUUGACUCCUGACCCCCUGCCACGGAGGGCUGUGAGCCCAGCCUGCAAAGCCCCCUCCUGACUGAGCACGCAGAGGGGCUCUUACACCCAGACCUAGUGUCUGACCUUCCAGGGGCCAAACAACUCCCCGAACACCAGGCCGAGGCGCCAGGAAGGACAGAGGCCCCUCUGCCUGUCCUCAGACUCAUUCCCACACCUGAUCCUCAUCGGAGCUGAUGCCUCGGUGUGAGCCAGGCCCUGCCUUCCCCCGGCGGAGGCCACCCUUGUGCCAAGCCCACCGUGGGCACUCUGGGCUAGGCUGACCCGGCCUGGCACUGGGUCACCCCUACGACCCCCUGAGGCCCUGGCCGGGUACUCAGCCCCCCUCUCGAGUUCCCUCGGCCUCCCCUCACCCACCAGGCACUGGUGUUCUCUCGAAUGUCUCUUCCCGAGGUCCUGUGUUCUGAAAGUGCCGAAACCUCCAGAAGGCUUGGUGGACAAAGGGAAGGAAGGAGGAUGGAAGGUGAGGCCUCUCCAGGCCUGGGAAUCCCAGGUGGCCCCUGGCCCCGUGGGCAUGUCACUAGCCCCGUGGAGACUGUGGCCUGUGGCUUGGCCUCCCCCGGUGGAUUGGGAGGACAUUCCCCACCCGAGGGUUCCCUCACGUCCCAUCCAGUUGCUCAGAAGGAACCAGACACAUUUAACGGCUCUACCCUCCCCGCGUGGGGACUUAGCUAGGUGGACCCUGCCUGCCGCCCAGGCCACCAGUGUAGUUCCCAGGAGGGCAUUUGGGCCAUGGUGAGACUUGCCCAUACAGGUAAGCCUGACAGCACACGAGUCCCCAUGUGAGCCCAGACCUUGGAAAUCCAUUGUCCUGGAGCCCUUGGGCCCCUGGAGUUGCCUGUGUUCCGUUGUGUUUCAGAGAGCAGAGGGGAGAAGGUGAGUUGCUGUGACUCCAACCCAGGUCCUCUCCCCAAGGUCAGCAGGAGGAGGCUGAGGAUAGGCCCAGGCCCACACCCUCGCAGAAAGGGUCUUUCUUUCCAGUUCUCCUUCUGUGCGAGGACCUGUUUGGGGUUUGAGUUUGGAUUUUGCUUUCCUUGCCUACCUUAGCGUGACACUGUGCCACCGUGACCUUGGCCAUUGCCCCAAGCCGGUGAGUGCUCUGUGGUCCUCUCCGUCCAUGCCUUCCACUUCCCAGAGGGAUGCAGAGCCAGUGACAAGAGGCUAGAGGGUGCAGGUCUGCAGCAAGGCGCCUUCCCUCACGCUGAGUCCCCAGCCGUUUCCUGAACAGAUACCCAAGCAGGACCCCCGCCCUGUGCACAGGCCACCCCAGGCUCAGAAGUGAGGGGGAAAAGGGAGAACCUGGUCUAAGGGGUCAUGGAGCAGUGGGCAGCCAGCCUGGAGAGACAUCCAGGGAAGCAGGGCACAGGCCAGCUUUGCACAAUCCCACUGGCCCCACCUUCCCUGACCCAGGCUUCAACCUAGGAGGUUUUACAAUUGGCCAAAUCCUUCAGGCCCUGGCAAGGCUCCCCAUGAGGAACCUUGACGACCACCCACCACGCUCUGGGGCCAGCAUCCCCUUCCCUGGGGCCACAGCCAAGGCUCUGGGAAAAGCAAACAUUUGUGCGUAAGUUCCCCCAAAUUGGGUGUGUAAAGCCUCUUGCUCAGUUAGUGAAACCAAGAGAAGAACCCAGUUUAAAAAAAGAAAAAAUACCCACAUGAGAAUUCAACCCACCAAUCCUAGAACUGGCCAUUUGGAAACUCUCCCACGUGCUGCAAGAGAACUUCACCGGAUUUUUGGCUUCAGUGACAAAAAGUGUCCCUAAAAAAAAAACCCCACAGCCUGGCAUUUGAGCUCAGAACUUUCAUUUAAGGAAUGUAUCUGCAGUCCCUCGACACAGACCAAUCCUCAGACUUGCCCAGACUUUGAAGCUGAGAACGAAAUGCACAUUUCUUCUCUGCGUUUUCUCAAAUAGAUAUUUUUUAACUGUCUCCUAGUUGAGCCCAGCUUAGAAUGGCAUAUAGGAUCUCCCAGAGUUUUUAGGUGUUCCUUAGAAGCUUCUAAAGCAAGUUUUGGAAGACUAAUAGCUGUAAAAAAUAUAGACCUAUAUAUUAUAUAUAGUUAUAUAUAUAUAUAUAUAUUUAAAGAGAUAUCUAUAUCUAUACAAAGUUCCCGUACUCUCUGGCUCCGUACAAAGGCCGACCUCGACACCCGGGUCGCGUGCGCUGUCUAAUGCAUGAAUGUGAAUACCCUGAGGCCUGCCUUCCCGACGGUGCGCCAGGUGCACGCAGGAAGAGGCCUCUUGUCUCUAGGAGUCCCGACUCCAGGGGCGGAUGUCAAGUCUGUGCGUCUUGUCCACCAGCGAGCCGCUGCUGUGGCCGGAGCAGGACCGCCAGCACUGGGGGGCCAUGGACGCUACUUACAAGGACGGAAGUACCAUGCCUUUUUUAUUUUCAAUAAAAAUGUACUUAUAAAGAUGA